UCGUGCGGAGUCACGGGAACGUGGUCCCUUAAGUCAGCGGCGGACGGGUGAGUAACACGUGGGUAACCUGCCUGUAAGACUGGGAUAACUCCGGGAAACCGGGGCUAAUACCGGAUGCUUGAUUGAACCGCAUGGUUCAAUUAUAAAAGGUGGCUUUUAGCUACCACUUACAGAUGGACCCGCGGCGCAUUAACUAGUUGGUGAGGUAACGGCUCACCAAGGCGACGAUGCGUAGCCGACCUGAGAGGGUGAUCGGCCACACUGGGACUGAAACACGGCCCAGACUCCUACGGGAGGCAGCAGUAGGGAAUCUUCCGCAAUGGACGAAAGUCUGACGGAACAACGCCGCGUGAGUGAUGAAGGUUUUCGGAUCGUAAAACUCUGUUGUUAGGGAAGAACAAGUACCGUUCGAAUAGGGCGGUACCUUGACGGUACCUAACCAGAAAGCCACGGCUAACUACGUGCCAGCAGCCGCGGUAAUACGUAGGUGGCAGCGUUGUCCGGAAUUAUUGGGCGUAAGCGCGCGCAGGCGGUUUCUUAGUCUGAUGUGAAAGCCCCCGGCUCACCGGGGAGGGUCUUGGAAAUGGGGAAUUGAGUGCAAAGAGGAGAUGGAAUUCCCGUGUAGCGGUGAAUGCGUAAAGUGUGGAGGAACCCAGUGGCGAAGCGACUCUUGGUCUGUACUGACGCUGAGCGCGAAGCGUGGGAGCGAAAGGAUUAGAUACCUGGUAUCCCGCCGUAACGAUGAUGCUAGUGUUAAAGGUUCCGCCUUUAUGCUGAGCAACGCUUAACACUCCCCUGGGAUACGUCGCAGAUGAACUCAAGGAAUGACGGGGCCGCACAGCGUGGAGCUGUGUUUAUUCGAGCACGCGAGAACUUACAGGUCUGACUCUCUGACACCUAAAAUAGGCUCCCUUCGGGCAAAUGAC
rnacentral:rRNA from 1 species